GUAGGUGGCAAGCGUUGUCCGGAAUUAUUGGGCGUAAAGCGCGCGCAGGCGGUUCGUUUAAGUCUGAUGUGAAAGACCCACGGGCUCAACCGUGGAGGGUCAUUGGAAACUGGAGAACUUGAGUACAGAAGAGGAAAGCGGAAUUCCACGUGUAGCGGUGAAAUGCGUAGAGAUGUGGAGGGAACACCAGUGGCGAAGGCGGCUUUCUGGUCUGUAACUGACGCUGAGGCGCGAAAGCGUGGGGAGCAAACAGGAUUAGAUACCCUGGUAGUCCACGCCGUAAACGAUGAGUGCUAAGUGUUAGGGGGUUUCCGCCCCUUAGUGCUGCAGCUAACGCAUUAAGCACUCCGCCUGGGGAGUACGGCCGCAAAGGCUG
rnacentral:rRNA from 1 species